GGGGCUGUGGCGAAAUGGCAGACGCAAAGGACUUAAAAUCCUUCGGUAGCAAUACCAUGAGGGUUCGACUCCCUCCAGCCCCACCA
rnacentral:tRNA from 1 species